UGAAGACCCCCGAACCCAGGUCAGACUCUCACCUGUCCGCAUGCUGGGGAACCACACGCACUGUCCCCGUCACGGCUUAGCGCUCCCUGCCUGGCAGGGCACGAGGCCCCGCGACACCUAGGGCCCAGGCGGGGGAAACAGCUUCUGCACGAAGCCAGCUCAGCGAACGGAGCAAACCAACAAAAGCCGCCCGCCCGCACACGGAUGUCAUAAGCAGGCUCGUCAUCGGUCGUUACCUGGACUGAGAUAGAAAGUUUGAAAGCCCGAGAAGAAGCAUUUUCAGAAUGAUGCUCCUCCACAAAAGCAAGGGGGCCACUCACAAAAAUCAUCAACAUCAACUUUUUAAAGUUCUAGAAAUUCCCCCUAAGGCCUCGACAAUUGGGAGCGCGUUCGUUCAUAAAACAGUUGAAUCCGGAUGAGAA